CUCUUCUUCACCUCCUCAGUAGUGGCUUCACCUUCCUCUCCUUCUUUCUUGGCAGCUGCAAUUUUCUUCUUGCGCCCAAUGUCAACCCCAUAGUGCUGAAGAUACCACUGCUUGAAAGGUGCAGCAUCAACUUGAACGAUGGCACUCUUCACCAAGGUUUGAGUACGGACCAGCUCAUUGUUAGAUGCAUUGUACACCAC
rnacentral:misc_RNA from 1 species